AGUGAACGCUGGCGGUAGGCCUAACACAUGCAAGUCGAACGGCAGCACAGUAAGAGCUUGCUCUUACGGGUGGCGAGUGGCGGACGGGUGAGGAAUACAUCGGAAUCUACUUUUUCGUGGGGGAUAACGUAGGGAAACUUACGCUAAUACCGCAUACGACCUACGGGUGAAAGCAGGGGAUCUUCGGACCUUGCGCGAUUGAAUGAGCCGAUGUCGGAUUAGCUAGUUGGCGGGGUAAAGGCCCACCAAGGCGACGAUCCGUAGCUGGUCUGAGAGGAUGAACAGCCACACUGGAACUGAGACACGGUCCAGACUCCUACGGGAGGCAGCAGUGGGGAAUAUUGGACAAUGGGCGCAAGCCUGAUCCAGCCAUACCGCGUGGGUGAAGAAGGCCUGCGGGUUGUAAAGCCCUUUUGUUGGGAAAGAAAAGCAGCAGGUUAAUACCCCGCUGUUCUGACGGUACCCAAAGAAUAAGCACCGGCUAACUUCGUG
rnacentral:rRNA from 1 species